AUUGAACGCUGGCGGCAGGCCUAACACAUGCAAGUCGAGCGAGCGGCGGACGGGUGAGUAAUGUAUGGGAAACUGCCUGAGGGAGGGGGAUAACUACUGGCAAAGGUUGCUAAUACCGCAUACCAUCAGAUAUGUCCAGAUGGGAUUAGCUGGUAGGUGGGGUAAAGGCUCACCUAGGCGACGAUCCCUAGCUGGUCUGAGAGGAUGACCAGCCACACUGGAACGGAGAUACGGUCCAGAGUCCUACGGGCGGCAGCAGUGGGUAUUAUUGCACAAUGGGCGCAAGCCUGAUGCAGCCAUGCCGCGUGUAUGAAGAAGGCCUUCGGGUUGUAAAGUACUGUCAGCGGGGAGGCGUUACCCGCAGAAGAAGCACCGGCUAACUCCGUGCCAGCCGCCGCGGUAAUAC
rnacentral:rRNA from 1 species